GAUGAACGCUGGCGGCGUGCCUAAUACAUGCAAGUCGAGCGAACGGACGAGAAGCUUGCUUCUCUGACGUUAGCGGCGGACGGGUGGGUAACACGUGGAUAACCUACCUAUAAGACUGGGAUAACUUCGGGAAACCGGAGCUAAUACCGGAUGAUAUUUUGAACCGCAUGGUUCAAAAGUGAAAGACGGUCUUGCUGUCACUUAUAGAUGGAUCCGCGCUGCAUUAGCUAGUUGGUAAGGUAACGGCUUACCAAGGCAACGAUGCAUAGCCGACCUGAGAGGGUGAUCGGCCACACUGGAACUGAGACACGGUCCAGACUCCUACGGGAGGCAGCAGUAGGGAAUCUUCCGCAAUGGGCGAAAGCCUGACGGAGCAACGCCGCGUGAGUGAUGAAGGUCUUCGGAUCGUAAAACUCUGUUAUUAGGGAAGAACAUAUGUGUAAGUAACUGUGCACAUCUUGACGGUACCUAAUCAGAAAGCCACGGCUAACUACGUG
rnacentral:rRNA from 1 species